ACACGUGGGUAACCUGCCUUAUAGUGGGGGAUAGCCUUUCGAAAGGAAGAUUAAUACCGCAUAAGAUUGUAGUAUCGCAUGGUAUAGCAAUUAAAGGAGCAAUUCGCUAUAAGAUGGACCCGCGUCGCAUUAGCUAGUUGGUGAGGUAAUGGCUCACCAAGGCGACGAUGCGUAGCCGACCUGAGAGGGUGAUCGGCCACAUUGGGACUGAGACACGGCCCAGACUCCUACGGGAGGCAGCAUG
rnacentral:rRNA from 1 species